UGCCCACUGAUUUUAAAAUUAAAGGGCUGCAGUAAUUUGACUGUACAAAGGUAGCAUAAUCCUUAGUCAUUUAAUUGAUGACUUGUAUGAAAGAUUGGAUGAGAUAUAAGCUGUCUCUUAGUUAUAUUUAGAAAUUAAUUUUUUAAUUAAAAAGUUAAAAUAAUUUAAAAAGACGAGAAGACCCUAUAGAGUUUCAUAAAUAAGUUAAUUAAAAUUAUUAUUAAAUUAAAUAAAUUGAAAUUAAUUUAUUUAUUUUGUUGGGGUGAUAGAAAAAUAUAUAAAACUUUUUUUUUUAGUGGUACACAUAUAAGUGAAUAUUUGAUCCAUUAUUAAUGAUUAAAAGAAAAAAUUACCUUAGGGAUAACAGCGUAAUUUUUUUUUUUAGUUCACAUAAAAAAAAGAGUUUGCGACCUCGAUGUUGGAUUAAGAUAAAAUUUAAAUGCAGAAGUUUAAAGUUUUUGA
rnacentral:rRNA from 1 species